rnacentral:rRNA from 1 species
CAGCAGCCGCGGGAAUACGUAGGUGGCAAGCAUUGUCCGGAAUUAUUGGGCGUAAAGGGCUCGCAGGCGGUUUCUUAAGUCUGAUGUGAAAGCCCCCGGCUCAACCGGGGAGGGUCAUUGGAAACUGGGAAACUUGAGUGCAGAAGAGGAGAGUGGAAUUCCACGUGUAGCGGUGAAAUGCGUAGAGAUGUGGAGGAACACCAGCGGCGAAGGCGACUCUCUGGUCUGUAACUGACGCUGAGGAGCGAAAGCGUGGGGAGCGAACAUGAUUAGAUACCCCCGUAGUCCCUGUCUCUUAUAC